UGGCGGCGUGCUUAACACAUGCAAGUCGAACGGGAUCCAUCGGGCUUUGCCUGGUGGUGAGAGUGGCGAACGGGUGAGUAAUGCGUGACCGACCUGCCCCAUGCUCCGGAAUAGCUCCUGGAAACGGGUGGUAAUGCCGGAUGUUCCACAUGAUCGCAUGUGAUUGUGGGAAAGAUUCUAUCGGCGUGGGAUGGGGUCGCGUCCUAUCAGCUUGUUGGUGAGGUAACGGCUCACCAAGGCUUCGACGGGUAGCCGGCCUGAGAGGGCGACCGGCCACAUUGGGACUGAGAUACGGCCCAGACUCCUACGGGAGGCAGCAGUGGGGAAUAUUGCACAAUGGGCGCAAGCCUGAUGCAGCGACGCCGCGUGAGGGAUGGAGGCCUUCGGGUUGUAAACCUCUUUUGUUUGGGAGCAAGCCUUCGGGUGAGUGUACCUUUCGAAUAAGCGCCGGCUAACUACGUGCCAGCAGCCGCGGUAAUACGUAGGGCGCAAGCGUUAUCCGGAUUUAUUGGGCGUAAAGGGCUCGUAGGCGGCUCGUCGCGUCCGGUGUGAAAGUCCAUCGCUUAACGGUGGAUCUGCGCCGGGUACGGGCGGGCUGGAGUGCGGUAGGGGAGACUGGAAUUCCCGGUGUAACGGUGGAAUGUGUAGAUAUCGGGAAGAACACCGAUGGCGAAGGCAGGUCUCUGGGCCGUCACUGACGCUGAGGAGCGAAAGCGUGGGGAGCGAACAGGAUUAGAUACCCUGGUAGUCCACGCCGUAAACGGUGGACGCUGGAUGUGGGGCACGUUCCACGUGUUCCGUGUCGGAGCUAACGCGUUAAGCGUCCCGCCUGGGGAGUACGGCCGCAAGGCUAAAACUCAAAGAAAUUGACGGGGGCCCGCACAAGCGGCGGAGCAUGCGGAUUAAUUCGAUGCAACGCGAAGAACCUUACCUGGGCUUGACAUGUUCCCGACGACGCCAGAGAUGGCGUUUCCCUUCGGGGCGGGUUCACAGGUGGUGCAUGGUCGUCGUCAGCUCGUGUCGUGAGAUGUUGGGUUAAGUCCCGCAACGAGCGCAACCCUCGCCCCGUGUUGCCAGCACGUUAUGGUGGGAACUCACGGGGGACCGCCGGGGUUAACUCGGAGGAAGGUGGGGAUGACGUCAGAUCAUCAUGCCCCUUACGUCCAGGGCUUCACGCAUGCUACA
rnacentral:rRNA from 1 species